rnacentral:rRNA from 1 species
CGCGGCUACCAUGCAGUCGACGGUGAAGCUCAGCUUGCUGGGUGGAUCAGUGGCGAACGGGUGAGUAACACGUGAGCAAUCUGCCCCUGACUCUGGGAUAAGCGCUGGAAACGGCGUCUAAUACUGGAUACGAACCGUGGAGGCAUCUUCAACGGUUGGAAAGAUUUUUUGGUCAGGGAUGAGCUCGCGGCCUAUCAGCUUGUUGGUGAGGUAAUGGCUCACCAAGGCGUCGACGGGUAGCCGGCCUGAGAGGGUGACCGGCCACACUGGGACUGAGACACGGCCCAGACUCCUACGGGAGGCAGCAGUGGGGAAUAUUGCACAAUGGGCGAAAGCCUGAUGCAGCAACGCCGCGUGAGGGAUGACGGCCUUCGGGUUGUAAACCUCUUUUAGCAGGGAAGAAGCGAAAGUGACGGUACCUGCAGAAAAAGCGCCGGCUAACUACGUGCCAGCAGCCGCGGUAAUACGUAGGGCGCAAGCGUUAUCCGGAAUUAUUGGGCGUAAAGAGCUCGUAGGCGGUUUGUCGCGUCUGCUGUGAAAUCCCGAGGCUCAACUUCGGGUCUGCAGUGGGUACGGGCAGACUAGAGUGCGGUAGGGGAGAUUGGAAUUCCUGGUGUAGCGGUGGAAUGCGCAGAUAUCAGGAGGAACACCGAUGGCGAAGGCAGAUCUCUGGGCCGUAACUGACGCUGAGGAGCGAAAGGGUGGGGAGCAAACAGGCUUAGAUACCCUGGUAGUCCACCCCGUAAACGUUGGGAACUAGUUGUGGGGUCCAUUCCACGGAUUCCGUGACGCAGCUAACGCAUUAAGUUCCCCGCCUGGGGAGUACGGCCGCAAGGCUAAAACUCAAAGGAAUUGACGGGGACCCGCACAAGCGGCGGAGCAUGCGGAUUAAUUCGAUGCAACGCGAAGAACCUUACCAAGGCUUGACAUAUACGAGAACGCUGCAGAAAUGUAGAACUCUUUGGACACUCGUAAACAGGUGGUGCAUGGUUGUCGUCAGCUCGUGUCGUGAGAUGUUGGGUUAAGUCCCGCAACGAGCGCAACCCUCGUUCUAUGUUGCCAGCACGUAAUGGUGGGAACUCAUGGGAUACUGCCGGGGUCAACUCGGAGGAAGGUGGGGAUGACGUCAAAUCAUCAUGCCCCUUAUGUCUUGGGCUUCACGCAUGCUACAAUGGCCGGUACAAAGGGCUGCAAUACCGUGAGGUGGAGCGAAUCCCAAAAAGCCGGUCCCAGUUCGGAUUGAGGUCUGCAACUCGACCUCAUGAAGUCGGAGUCGCUAGUAAUCGCAGAUCAGCAACGCUGCGGUGAAUACGUUCCCGGGUCUUGUACACACCGCCCGUCAAGUCAUGAAAGUCGGUAACACCUGAAGCCGGUGGCCCAACCCUUGUGGAGGGAGCCGUCGAAGGUGGGAUCGGUAAUUAGGACUAAGUCGAUCAAG